UGCCAGCAGCCGCGGUAAUACGGAGGGGGUUAGCGUUGUUCGGAAUUAUUGGGUUUAAAGGGUCCGCAGGCUGUUUGUUAAGUUAGAGGUGAAAUCCUACCGCUCAACGGUAGAACUGCCUUUAAAACUGGCAAACUUGAGUUAUUGUGAAGUAAUUAGAAUGUGUAGUGUAGCGGUGAAAUGCAUAGAUAUUACACAGAAUACCAAUUGCGAAGGCAGAUUACUAACAAUUAACUGACGCUGAGGGACGAAAGCGUGGGUAGCGAACAGGAUUAGAUA
rnacentral:rRNA from 1 species